rnacentral:lncRNA from 1 species
CAUUUGCAGCAUCAAAAUGAGUGGCAGCGACGGCAGCGGAAGCAGCUGGACCUCAAAGUUUCUGAAAGUGGCCGGCGCAGCCGCCGUAGCCGGCGGUUUGUAUGUCGCUCUCUCAUCAGCAUCUGCUAACUCGGAGCAUGAAGCAGCGUUCGGCGCAAGGCGUGAGAGCGGAGAGCGUGAGCAGGCUAAUAAUAACAUGGGUGGCGGCACCCUGGUAUGUAAAUUUUGUUCUCUUCACUCACGCUUUUGGUUUGUGGAUUAAUUUUGAAAGCAACACGUGAGUUGUUAUCUUUGACAGGAGAAGUGGAAGAAGCCUGAGGUUGGUUGGGUGAAGCUGAACGUGGAUGGUUCGCGAGACCGUUACAACGUAGUCUCUGCAGGUUGCGGUGGGGUUGUGAGGGACUCAUCAGGAAAGUGGGUGCGUGGCUUUGCUAAAAACCUGGACUCAUCUUUGGAAGUGCACCAGACAGAGUUAGAAGCCAUUCUCGCGGGGCUGCAGCUUGUUUCAGACAUGAACUUGAAGAAAGUGGUUGUGGAGUCAGACAAUAAAUCCGUGGUGAGCAUGGUGGAGAACUCCGUUAAGCCAAAUCACCCUGAUUAUGUUAUCAUCCAACAGAUAAGAGCGAUGCUACACCGUUUUGACUGGGAAGUGAAGCUUGUUGCUAUCUCGAACAGUGCCAAUAGUGUUGCUGAUAGGCUCGCCAAAAAUGCUCGUACUCCGUUUCUUUAUGGUCUCUACCAGGAGUAUUUGGCUCCACCUGAUAACUGUGUCCAGUUUCUCAGCAGCUUCUAGAUAUUUUACUAAAGUAACAAACCCAAAAUCAUCACAUGGAGUGAGGAAUUUGAAGCCACUGCUUCUUCAACUAUAGUUUUAUGUUUUAUGUUGUUUAUCAAUUAUGUUUUAUGUUCUUCAACUAGUUUUAUGUUGUUUAUCAAUUAUGUUUUAUGUUGUUUAUCAAUUAUGUUUUAUGUUCUUCAACUAGUUUUAUGUUGUUUAUCAAUUAUGUUUUAUGUUGUUUAUCAAUUAUGUUUUAUGUUCUUCACCUAGUUUUGUUUUAUUUUGAGAUAACUGGUGAUAAAUGUGACUGGUAAUAAUUCAAUGCCAACGUAAUGGCUUCACUUUUGUCUUUGGAAAACAAAAGUAUAGUUGGGCACUGGAACGCGACAACAUUUGGUUUAUAAAAAGGAAAUUGAUUUUUCUUUGAAAGAGUUAUAGUCUUCACUUCAGGUUGGGGUCACUAUCUAAGUAUUCGAGAUUUCGAUCUCGACAAUUCCAACAAUUAACGUCACAAAUCAAGAUUAAAACUUAAUCACGUAAUUAAUAAAAUAUAACACGUUAAAUGAUCUAUAAAUAGCAAUUAAGUGGACAUUAGUGUAUACUCUAGUCAUUUGUAUAGGUAGGAGUUUAACAUGAUUAAGAGUAAUUGAUUCUUGCUAUAUAUAUAAAUCUCUUAUUAGAUUAGACUAGAUUAGACUGAGAAUUGAUUUGAGUGUUGAACUACAAUUACAUGUAUUCUUAUUGAGAUGGCAAUUAAAGACAAAUUAAGAAUUGAAGGUUGAGACCUAGAAACGAGAUUAAGUUACACUACAAUAAAAUCAGAAAUUACAUACAAAUUAUUAUAUAUAAAUUUUUACAUGGAUAAUUCUAAUCUUUACGUAAGAUAUUUAAAGUUUAAUUUAAAAAACAAAAAUUCGUAUGUAAUUUAUUUUAAAUUUAAUUAAAAAAUAAUAUAAAGUGUAACAUAUGGAUUAUUUUAGAAAAAUUGUUACAUACAAAUAUUUUAAAUUUAUCUAAAAAAAAAAAUGUUACAUUAAAUUAAAAAAGAACUGUUAAUUCGUAUGUAACUUAUUUUAAAUUUAUUUAAAAAAUAAUUAAAAAUGUUACUUACAGGUAAAAUUCAUAUAUAAUUUAUUUAAAAAAUAAUUAAAUAUAUUAUAAAUAUUUAUAAUGUUUAUAAUAUUUAUAAUAUUUAUAAUAUUUAUAAUAUUUAUAAUGUUUAUAAUAUUUAUAAUAUUAAUAAUAUUAAUAAAAAUCAUAAGAUGACAAAAGAACUUGUUGGGUGUAAUGGUUAAAGAUUGUUUUGUCACUCAAGGAAUUUGGCUUUUCAGGUGCAUUACAAAUUUAAUUUAAAGAAAUAAAAAUGGUUAAAAAAGGAUAUUACAUACGGAUAAAUCUGUUUGUAAUUACAUACGGAUUGAUCCGUAUGUAACACUUACCUAUGUCAGUUUUACAUACGGAUUUUUGUCCGUAUGUAAUUUGUAUGUAACUAUGUUUUAUAUACGGAUUUUUUGUCUUACAUACGGAUUUUGGCUGUAUGUAAUUCUAGAUUUUCUUGUAGUGUUACAUGUGCAUCACAAGAGUUUUCGAGGUUGAUUCCGUAUGAGAAGAACAUUUUGACACUUAUUGUGGGGUUUAGAGAAAGUCCAAUGAAGAAGUCACAUGGUAACCAUGCGAAACAUGGUAAUGACAUACCCAUUAUAGAAGAAAUCAAGAACCAUCAUGAUGAUCCAGUGACAAUGAUGGUAGUAUUGAACAAGAUGUUUUGAUACUUCCAAAUCUAUGUGGAAGACUUGAAGAACCUAUUGCUAUGUGUGUGUUGUCUAAUAAUUUUUGACUUGUCAAUUCACACCUUAUAUUGAUCCAAGCUCACUUAACUUUUAAUGUCUUUUAAAAGAAAUGUUUUCUAAAAAGCUGAGAAAUUUUAGUUAGUUGUUUUUUAAAUCAACCAGUUGAAAAAGUUGCUACUCAAAGAGAUUGAGACUAAAACAAGUUUUUCAACUUGUUGAAUUGUUGAAACAACUGGUGGUUUGACACUUAGUGGUUUUCAAAAUAUUUUGGAAAUUUUUUUCUUUAUUUUUUCUUUGUUGUCAAAUUGAAACAACCGAUUAUUUUGAUAACAACUGGUUGUUUUUAUAAAAACCUUAAUAGCAAAUUUAUUUCAAUCUGUUGUUUUGGAAAACAAUUUGUUAUUUUGGAAAACAAUUUAUUGUUUUUAUAACAAAAUUCUAUUAAGAGUUUGAAACUAAUUUUAAAUGAUUACAACUGCUUUCUGCUGAAGUUUAUAUAAAGAUUAUUAUAUGAUUUUUUUCAAGAACCUGAGAUUGAGAGCUUAUAAAAAACGUUUUCAAGAGAAUCAAGAGCUUUGGAUCAUCACUUGUGUGUGGAAUUGGACUAGGUUUUUGUAUACUUUUGUUCUUUUAUUUUGUAAAACCUAGGUGUACUAUAUUUCCUUCAUUUGAACAUUGUAAUUCUGUGUAAUUUCGUGUAAGGUAGUUUCAAAAAGGAUUUCUGAAAACUGUGGUGUUGCCAAGGAGUGAUGUGUGUUCUUAAGGGGUUCAAGAUCAUCACUCUUGGUGUGUGUUUGUAAUCUUGUUUUAAUUACUUAGUGAAUUCCCAAUGGUUAGCCAAGGACUGGAUGUAACUCUUGGUUAAGAGUGAACAAUAUAAACUUUUGUGUGUGAAUCUCUCUAUCCCUUCUCUUAUACACUAUUUUCAUCACUGUUCUUUCUCUGCUGAUAUAAACAAACGGUUGUUUCGAGAAAACAAUUGGUUGAAUUUCUAUAAAGAAUCUUAAAAAGGAAUUUUUAUCCGGUUGAACAGAAAAUCAAUUGAUUGAUUUUUCAUAAAUUUUCACUCUACUUUCAAACUAUGCAAAAAUCUCGUGAAAACAAUUAACCCACUCUUGUUUAGGCCAUACAUUCUAACAAGUAGUACUGAAAAGAAAGAACACAUAAAAGAUAGAUGCUAUGAGAAUGGAAAAUGCGCGAAUGAGACAAAACCUCGAGAGUAAUAAGACGAUUUUGGUAUAUGUAAAGGAGCCUGGAGACUCAACAGGUUUGAAUAUGCAUACUCAAUAAAGGACAUAGGAAGUUAAUAUCUCUAAAUGUGCUUUGAAUAUAUAAAUCAUUUGUUUAGUUUUCAAUUUCAGAAAUUGUCUCUUCGUUUUCUUUCUUCUCUCAAUUCCGAAAUUGCCUUUUCGUCUUUUUCUCUCAUUUGUGUUUUUUUUUCUUCAUCGAGAACAAUUCUUGAGGAUUUAGAAAAUAAAUAUCAAAUAUAAAUCAAGUUUUACAUCGAUUUUUUAACGCUGCAAGUUUAUUCUAUUUUCUUAUGGACAUUUUAUGAUUGUAAUUGGCAUUUGUGAUUUUAAAAAUUAAAUUAGAAAUUAAUUGAAUUUUAAUUUGAUAGCUAAAUGUGGAUUAUGUUAAAUGAUAUUUGAUUCUAAAUUCCAAACCUGAUUUAUCUAUUAUUAUAAUGUACUUCUUUAAAAAUCUAUUUAUUUGGUAAAUUCUUUGGGAAAUUACACAAAAAUCGUAACAAACGUGCAUGUUGGAAGUUGGGCAAACUUGAAACCGCAUGUCAGCACUAUUCAUGGUACAGUUAAGAAGUAACUUAGUUUUUCUGUAAUCCAAGCAAACUUAAAGAUAUUAUAACUUCAUCAUCAACUUUAGUACAACACUCAAAUCAAUUCUCAAACUAAUAGCACAGGGUAUAUAGCAAUUAGGAAGAAUCAAUUACUCUUUACUUAUUAUUUAUAUUGAUCAUGUUGGACUCCUACUUAUACAAAUGACUAGAGUACACUAAAGUCUCUUAAUUGCUAUUUUUAAUCAUUUAACGUGUUACAUUUUACUAAUUACGUGAUUAAAUUUUAAUCUUGAUUAGUGACGUUAAUUGUUGGUAUUGUCGAGAAGGGAAUCUCGAAUACUUAGAUAGUGACCCAAACCUGAAGUGAAGACUAUAACUCUUUCAAAGAAAAAUCAAUUUCCAAUGCCCAACUAUACUUUUGUUUCCCAAAGAUAAAAGUGAAAGCCAUUACGUUGACAUUGAUCACCAGUUAUCUCAAAAUAAAACAUAAAACUAGUUGAACAACAUAAAACAUAAAACUAGUUGAACAACAUAAACAUAAAACUAGUUGAACAACAUAAAACAUAAUUGAUAAACAACAUAAAACAUAAAACUAGUUGAAGAAGCAGUGGCUUCAAAAUCCUCACGCCAUGUGAUGAUUUUGGGUUUGUUAUUUUAGUAAAAUAUCUAGAAGCUGCUGAGACACCCAUCUCUCUGGAGAAACUGGACACAGUUAUGAGGUUGAACACGAUACUCCUGGUAGGGAUCAUCAGAAGACAGAGUACGAGCAUCAUUGGCGAGUUUAUCAGCAACACUAUUGGCCGUGUUCGAGAUAGCAACAAGCUUCACUUCCCAGUCAAAACGGUGUAGCAUCGCCCUUAUCUGUUGGAUGACGUCAUAAUCAGGGUGACUUCGCCUAACCGAGUUCUCCACCAUGCUCACCACGGAUUUAUUGUCUGACUCCACGACCACUUUCUUAAAGUUCAUGUCUGAAACAAGCUGCAGCCCCGCGAGAAUGGCUUCUAACUCUGUCUGGUGCACAUCCAAAGAUGAGUCCAGUUUUUUAGCAAAGCCACGCACCCACUUUCCUGAUGAGUCCCUCACAACCCCGCCGCAACCUGCAGAGACUACUUUGUAAUGGUCUCGCGAACCAUCCACGUUCAGCUUCACCCAACCAACCUCAGGCUUCUCCCACUUCUCCUGUCAAAGAUAACAACUCACAUGUUGCUUUCAAAAUUAAUCCACAAACCAAAAGCGUGAGUGAAGAGAACAAAAUUUACAUACCAGGGUGC